UGCUCCUACGGGGGGCAGCAGUGGGGGAUAUUGCACAAUGGGGGAAACCCUGAUGCAGCGACGCCGCGUGAGUGAAGAAGUAUUUCGGUACGUAAAGCUCUAUCAGCAGGGAAGAAUAAUGACGGUACCUGACUAAGAAGCCCCGGCUAACUACGUGCCAGCAGCCGCGGUAAUACGUAGGGGGCAAGCGUUAUCCGGAUUUAUUGGGUUUAAAGGGUGCGCAGGCGGCGAGUUAAGUCAGCGGUAAACUUUCGGGGCUCAACCCCGACGAGCCGUUGAAACUGGCUUGCUAUAGUGGGCGAGAA
rnacentral:rRNA from 1 species